GACGAACACUGGCGGCGUGCUUAACACAUGCAAGUCGAGCGGAGCGGCGAACGGGUGAGUAACGCGUGAGUAACUGCCCCCCUCUCUGGGAUAACAGUUGGAAACGGCUGCUAAUACCGGAUAGUGGGGGAUGACUCGCGUCCUAUCAGCUUGUGGGUGGGGUAGUGGCCUACCAAGGCGACGACGGGUAGCCGGCCUGAGAGGGCGACCGGCCAAAUUGGGAGGAGAUACGGGCAGAAGGGCUACGGGAGGCAGCAGGGGGGAAUAUUGCACGAUGGGGGAAACCCGGAUGCAGCAACGCGCGUGGGGGAGGACGGCCUUCGGGUUGUAAACCGCUUUCAGCCAUGACGCGGUAGUGGCAGAAGAAGCACCGGCUAACUACGUGCCAGCAGCCGCGGUAAUUC
rnacentral:rRNA from 1 species